ACGCUGGCGGCAGGCCUAACACAUGCAAGUCGAGCGGAAACGACACCAACAAUCCUUCGGAUGCGUUAAUGGGCGUCGAGCGGCGGACGGGUGAGUAAUGCCUAGGAAAUUGCCUUGAUGUGGGGGAUAACCAUUGGAAACGAUGGCUAAUACCGCAUAAUGCCUACGGGCCAAAGAGGGGGACCUUCGGACCUCUCGCGUCAAGAUAUGCCUAGGUGGGAUUAGCUAGUUGGUGAGGUAAUGGCUCACCAAGGCGACGAUCCCUAGCUGGUCUGAGAGGAUGAUCAGCCACACUGGAACUGAGACACGGUCCAGACUCCUACGGGAGGCAGCAGUGGGGAAUAUUGCACAAUGGGCGAAAGCCUGAUGCAGCCAUGCCGCGUGUAUGAAGAAGGCCUUCGGGUUGUAAAGUACUUUCAGUUGUGAGGAAGGGGGUAACGUUAAUAGCGUUAUCUCUUGACGUUAGCAACAGAAGAAGCACCGGCUAACUCCGUGCCAGCAGCCGCGGUAAUACGGAGGGUGCGAGCGUUAAUCGGAAUUACUGGGCGUAAAGCGCAUGCAGGUGGUUCAUUAAGUCAGAUGUGAAAGCCCGGGGCUCAACCUCGGAACUGCAUUUGAAACUGGUGAACUAGAGUGCUGUAGAGGGGGGUAGAAUUUCAGGUGUAGCGGUGAAAUGCGUAGAGAUCUGAAGGAAUACCAGUGGCGAAGGCGGCCCCCUGGACA
rnacentral:rRNA from 1 species